rnacentral:rRNA from 4 species
AGCGUACACGGUGGAUGCCCUGGCAGUCAGAGGCGAUGAAGGACGUGCUAAUCUGCGAUAAGCGUCGGUAAGGUGAUAUGAACCGUUAUAACCGGCGAUUUCCGAAUGGGGAAACCCAGUGUGAUUCGUCACACUAUCAUUAACUGAAUCCAUAGGUUAAUGAGGCGAACCGGGGGAACUGAAACAUCUAAGUACCCCGAGGAAAAGAAAUCAACCGAGAUUCCCCCAGUAGCGGCGAGCGAACGGGGAGGAGCCCAGAGCCUGAAUCAGUGUGUGUGUUAGUGGAAGCGUCUGGAAAGGCGCGCGAUACAGGGUGACAGCCCCGUACACAAAAAUGCACAUGCUGUGAGCUCGAUGAGUAGGGCGGGACACGUGGUAUCCUGUCUGAAUAUGGGGGGACCAUCCUCCAAGGCUAAAUACUCCUGACUGACCGAUAGUGAACCAGUACCGUGAGGGAAAGGCGAAAAGAACCCCGGCGAGGGGAGUGAAAAAGAACCUGAAACCGUGUACGUACAAGCAGUGGGAGCACAGAGCAAUCUGUGUGACUGCGUACCUUUUGUAUAAUGGGUCAGCGACUUAUAUUCUGUAGCAAGGUUAACCGAAUAGGGGAGCCGAAGGGAAACCGAGUCUUAACUGGGCGUUAAGUUGCAGGGUAUAGACCCGAAACCCGGUGAUCUAGCCAUGGGCAGGUUGAAGGUUGGGUAACACUAACUGGAGGACCGAACCGACUAAUGUUGAAAAAUUAGCGGAUGACUUGUGGCUGGGGGUGAAAGGCCAAUCAAACCGGGAGAUAGCUGGUUCUCCCCGAAAGCUAUUUAGGUAGCGCCUCGUGAAUUCAUCUCCGGGGGUAGAGCACUGUUUCGGCAAGGGGGUCAUCCCGACUUACCAACCCGAUGCAAACUGCGAAUACCGGAGAAUGUUAUCACGGGAGACACACGGCGGGUGCUAACGUCCGUCGUGAAGAGGGAAACAACCCAGACCGCCAGCUAAGGUCCCAAAGUCAUGGUUAAGUGGGAAACGAUGUGGGAAGGCCCAGACAGCCAGGAUGUUGGCUUAGAAGCAGCCAUCAUUUAAAGAAAGCGUAAUAGCUCACUGGUCGAGUCGGCCUGCGCGGAAGAUGUAACGGGGCUAAACCAUGCACCGAAGCUGCGGCAGCGACACUGUGUGUUGUUGGGUAGGGGAGCGUUCUGUAAGCCUGUGAAGGUGUGCUGUGAGGCAUGCUGGAGGUAUCAGAAGUGCGAAUGCUGACAUAAGUAACGAUAAAGCGGGUGAAAAGCCCGCUCGCCGGAAGACCAAGGGUUCCUGUCCAACGUUAAUCGGGGCAGGGUGAGUCGACCCCUAAGGCGAGGCCGAAAGGCGUAGUCGAUGGGAAACAGGUUAAUAUUCCUGUACUUGGUGUUACUGCGAAGGGGGGACGGAGAAGGCUAUGUUGGCCGGGCGACGGUUGUCCCGGUUUAAGCGUGUAGGCUGGUUUUCCAGGCAAAUCCGGAAAAUCAAGGCUGAGGCGUGAUGACGAGGCACUACGGUGCUGAAGCAACAAAUGCCCUGCUUCCAGGAAAAGCCUCUAAGCAUCAGGUAACAUCAAAUCGUACCCCAAACCGACACAGGUGGUCAGGUAGAGAAUACCAAGGCGCUUGAGAGAACUCGGGUGAAGGAACUAGGCAAAAUGGUGCCGUAACUUCGGGAGAAGGCACGCUGAUAUGUAGGUGAAGUCCCUCGCGGAUGGAGCUGAAAUCAGUCGAAGAUACCAGCUGGCUGCAACUGUUUAUUAAAAACACAGCACUGUGCAAACACGAAAGUGGACGUAUACGGUGUGACGCCUGCCCGGUGCCGGAAGGUUAAUUGAUGGGGUCAGCGCAAGCGAAGCUCUUGAUCGAAGCCCCGGUAAACGGCGGCCGUAACUAUAACGGUCCUAAGGUAGCGAAAUUCCUUGUCGGGUAAGUUCCGACCUGCACGAAUGGCGUAAUGAUGGCCAGGCUGUCUCCACCCGAGACUCAGUGAAAUUGAACUCGCUGUGAAGAUGCAGUGUACCCGCGGCAAGACGGAAAGACCCCGUGAACCUUUACUAUAGCUUGACACUGAACAUUGAGCCUUGAUGUGUAGGAUAGGUGGGAGGCUUUGAAGUGUGGACGCCAGUCUGCAUGGAGCCGACCUUGAAAUACCACCCUUUAAUGUUUGAUGUUCUAACGUGGACCCGUGAUCCGGGUUGCGGACAGUGUCUGGUGGGUAGUUUGACUGGGGCGGUCUCCUCCUAAAGAGUAACGGAGGAGCACGAAGGUUGGCUAAUCCUGGUCGGACAUCAGGAGGUUAGUGCAAUGGCAUAAGCCAGCUUGACUGCGAGCGUGACGGCGCGAGCAGGUGCGAAAGCAGGUCAUAGUGAUCCGGUGGUUCUGAAUGGAAGGGCCAUCGCUCAACGGAUAAAAGGUACUCCGGGGAUAACAGGCUGAUACCGCCCAAGAGUUCAUAUCGACGGCGGUGUUUGGCACCUCGAUGUCGGCUCAUCACAUCCUGGGGCUGAAGUAGGUCCCAAGGGUAUGGCUGUUCGCCAUUUAAAGUGGUACGCGAGCUGGGUUUAGAACGUCGUGAGACAGUUCGGUCCCUAUCUGCCGUGGGCGCUGGAGAACUGAGGGGGGCUGCUCCUAGUACGAGAGGACCGGAGUGGACGCAUCACUGGUGUUCGGGUUGUCAUGCCAAUGGCACUGCCCGGUAGCUAAAUGCGGAAGAGAUAAGUGCUGAAAGCAUCUAAGCACGAAACUUGCCCCGAGAUGAGUUCU